UCGAGAAUCUCCGGCAAUGGGCGAAAGCCUGACCGAGCGAUGCCGCGUGCGGGAUGAAGGCCUUCGGGUUGUAAACCGCUGUCGUAGGGGAGCAAGGGGAAACCUUGAGCGAUCCUAGGAGGAAGGACCGGCUAAGUUCGUGCCAGCAGCCGCGGUAAUACGAACGGUCCAAACGUUAUUCGGAAUCACUGGGCUUAAAGCGUCCGUAGGCGGCUCGGAAAGUAGGGUGUGAAAUCCCACGGCUCAACCGUGGAAUUGCGCUCUAAACUAUCGAGCUAGAGGGAGAUAGAGGUGAGCGGAACUGAUGGUGGAGCGGUGAAAUGCGUUGAUAUCAUCAGGAACACCGGAGGCGAAGGCGGCUCACUGGGUCUUUUCUGACGCUGAGGGACGAAAGCUAGGGGAGCGAACGG
rnacentral:rRNA from 1 species